AGAUAAUCUAUUUAAACAUAAUGCGACAAACUAUUUAAAAACAGAAGUUCAGGGAGCAGGAAUGGUUUUGCAGAGCAAUAAAGCAGUUUUCAAAUUCUAGGAGUUUAAUACAAGACACCAUUAGAGGGAUAAAAUACACUAAAUUGUAGGACAACAGUGAAAGGAGCACCAGAGCUCUUGGUGUGAUUGCCGAUAAGCCAAUUAGAAGCAGCAGGAAGAGGAGAUAAGGUACAAUUAGGAACAAUUUGCAACAACACAGUGCAACCCGAUUGUCGAUUUUCUUUUGUCUUCUUUUUUUUCUUUUAACCAGGCAACACAUUUUGUUUUACUGACCAAUCAAACUGUCCCCAGGGUUUUAUUAUCAUUUAGGAUGGUUUCUUUGUGCCUGUCACACCCUAGAUGGAAAAGCAGCCCAGAAAACGAGGCCAGUCAGAAACUUCCUUUGUCUGGAGACUGUAAAUAAGAGUCGAGUGCUGAAAAGAAAUCGGACAGGGCAACACUGAGCUCUCACAGCCAGUAAAGGCAGACAAAUGGAACACUAAUGUGAAAGUGAGAAAAAAAAUAAAAAUAACAUAAAGAUCCACACCAGCUAGAGAAGAGUCUGUGCCAAAGAAAUAAUUGCUUAAUUAAUUCUUGGAAUGUUUUUUUUUUCUUUCUUUUUUUCUCUGCUCGCCUACAGCUCAGGAAUCACGUGAGCCCUACUUCCCAGGAUUCUUGCUGAGGAACUGUUCUGCCGCUGAUAUUCCAGGAAACUGACAGCAUUACAUCAUACAGUUUACAAAGUCUCUUCCUUUCCCUCGUCCUGCUCCAUCUUCUACUCCUCACUCUUCCGGAUUUCAACAUCCCAAGCGGCAUUUUCACAUAAAAGGUCCCACAGAAUUUAAAGACUUCAGAGGUCAGUGCUAAAACACACUUUACAAAACCCAACAGCAACCUAUCUCGUCCCCGUUGUCAUAAACUUCAUAAACUUCUUUGAAGGGAAAAUAUAAACAUAAUCUCUGGUCCUGUAAUAGACUUCCAUCACUUCACAUAAUCAGGACGGACUGCAUGACGGUGUUUUGUAGCAGAGUGCCUCCUCCUGCUUCUUAAAGGCAACAAUUAGAUGGAUUAGUUCAUCAUCCUAAAACUGCACUGUUAACGGACACCGGCCAGAACAUUGUCUCCUGGACAAUCAUCAGCUCUCUUCCUUUUCACUUCUCACCCAUUAUCCUCUAUAACGUCCCACAUUCACCCUCUUCCUCAUAUUUUUCCUUUUAAGUCCGACAUGUCUGCCUUAUUUAAAAAUGUCAUUUAUUUACCUAAAUUGUGCCUUAAUGUUCAUUUCUCUCUUUUCUCUUUCAUUGUCGCGAUCCAAAUCAGAACUGCCUCGCUCCAAAGCCUUUUGCACCAGGCCCCAUUUGCCCAAGCUCUAUUUAACUUUAAUUUCCUUAAUGAGCAAACUGAGCUCCAAUUAAAGGCAUGGCCAUAACGCAGCAGCAGGCGGCUCAGUUCAGACAGUGUCGGUAUUAUACUGGUGCACCAUUGGAAAGACUCACUACUGAUGCUU